rnacentral:rRNA from 1 species
UACGGGGGGGGCAAGCGUUGUUCGGAAUUACUGGGCGUAAAGGGCUCGUAGGCGGCCAACUAAGUCAGACGUGAAAUCCCUCGGCUUAACCGGGGAACUGCGUCUGAUACUGGUUGGCUUGAAUCCGGGAGAGGGAUGUGGAAUUCCAGGUGUAGCGGUGAAAUGCGUAGAUAUCUGGAGGAACACCGGUGGCGAAAGCGGCGCGCUGGACCACUACUGACGCUGAGGAACGAAAGCUAGGGGAGCAAACAGG